rnacentral:rRNA from 1 species
AGCGAACGCUGGCGGCAGGCCUAACACAUGCAAGUCGAACGGACCCUUCGGGGUUAGUAGCGGACGGGUGAGUAACACGUGGGAACGUGCCUUUAGGUUCGGAAUAGCUCCUGGAAACGGGUGGUAAUGCCGAAUGUGCCCUUCGGGGGAAAGCUUUAUCGCCUUUAGAGCGGCCCGCGUCUGAUUAGCUAGUUGGUGAGGUAAUGGCUAACCAAGGCGACGACCAGUAGCUGGUCUUAGCGGAUGACCCGCCACAUUGGGACUGAGACACGGCCCAAACUCCUACGGGAGGCAGCAGUGGGGAAUCUUGCGCAAUGGGCGAAAGCCUGACGCAGCCAUGCCGCGUGAAUGAUGAAGGUCUUAGGAUUGUAAAAUUCUUUCACCGGGGACGAUAAUGACGGUACCCGGAGAAGAAGCCCCGGCUAACUUCGUGCCAGCAGCCGCGGUAACAC